UGUCUGCUUAAAGCAAAAGUCUGAAUAUAUGUAAACAAAAUGUUGAACUUUCAGUAUAUUUACAUCAGUAUCAAUUUUCGUUUAAUGAGUAACAGGUGUAUAUUAUUAACUAUUUUGAUAGUAAUGUUUUUAUUUCUGGCUUUCAAGUAACCACAGUGACUCCUUUCACCCUGGCUAAGAAGAAUGCACUACCCAAGGAGAAGGUGGAGGAAAUCCACAGGGCAGUCACCAAAUUUGUGGUGAUGGGGCUUCAUCCAUUUUCCACGGUGGAAUUACUAUCUUUUAGAUUUGCCAGAGCAUAAUGUUAUCCUUGAUGUGAGGACUUGCUGGAAUUCUCUGUACAUCAUGGUUGAGCGGUUUGUGGAGCAGUUCCCUGCAAUCCAGGCAGCUUGCCUCGAUCAAAGGCUGAGGAAGCCAAUGGAGAGGGACAGACUAGAGCGGCUCACUGACAGUGAUUUUGAGAAGGCAGAGGAAUUCA